AAAAGUGAGCGGAUGAACUGAGGGUAGCGGAGAAAUUCCAAUCGAACCUGGAGAUAGCUGGUUCUCUCCGAAAUAGCUUUAGGGCUAGCCUCAAGUGAUGAUUAUUGGAGGUAGAGCACUGUUUGGACGAGGGGCCCCUCUCGGGUUACCGAAUUCAGACAAACUCCGAAUGCCAAUUAAUUUAACUUGGGAGUCAGAACAUGGGUGAUAAGGUCCGUGUUCGAAAGGGAAACAGCCCAGACCACCAGCUAAGGUCCCAAAAUAUAUGUUAAGUGGAAAAGGAUGUGGCGUUGCCCAGACAACUAGGAUGUUGGCUUAGAAGCAGCCAUCAUUUAAAGAGUGCGUAAUAGCUCACUAGUCGAGUGACACUGCGCCGAAAAUGUACCGGGGCUAAACAUAUUACCGAAGCUGUGGAUUGUCCUUUGGACAAUGGUAGGAGAGCGUUCUAAGGGCGUUGAAGCAUGAUCGUAAGGACAUGUGGAGCGCUUAGAAGUGAGAAUGCCGGUGUGAGUAGCGAAAGACGGGUGAGAAUCCCGUCCACCGAUUGACUAAGGUUUCCAGAGGAAGGCUCGUCCGCUCUGGGUUAGUCGGGUCCUAAGCUGAGGCCGACAGGCGUAGGCGAUGGAUAACAGGUUGAUAUUCCUGUACCACCUAUAAUCGUUUUAAUCGAUGGGGGGACGCAGUAGGAUAGGCGAAGCGUGCGAUUGGAUUGCACGUCUAAGCAGUAAGGCUGAGUAUUAGGCAAAUCCGGUACUCGUUAAGGCUGAGCUGUGAUGGGGAGAAGACAUUGUGUCUUCGAGUCGUUGAUUUCACACUGCCGAGAAAAGCCUCUAGAUAGAAAAUAGGUGCCCGUACCGCAAACCGACACAGGUAGUCAAGAUGAGAAUUCUAAGGUGAGCGAGCGAACUCUCGUUAAGGAACUCGGCAAAAUGACCCCGUAACUUCGGGAGAAGGGGUGCUCUUUAGGGUUAACGCCCAGAAGAGCCGCAGUGAAUAGGCCCAAGCGACUGUUUAUCAAAAACACAGGUCUCUGCUAAACCGUAAGGUGAUGUAUAGGGGCUGACGCCUGCCCGGUGCUGGAAGGUUAAGAGGAGUGGUUAGCUUCUGCGAAGCUACGAAUCGAAGCCCCAGUAAACGGCGGCCGUAACUAUAACGGUCCUAAGGUAGCGAAAUUCCUUGUCGGGUAAGUUCCGACCCGCACGAAAGGCGUAACGAUUUGGGCACUGUCUCAACGAGAGACUCGGUGAAAUCAUAGUACCUGUGAAGAUGCAGGUUACCCGCGACAGGACGGAAAGACCCCGUGGAGCUUUACUGUAGCCUGAUAUUGAAAUUCGGCACAGCUUGUACAGGAUAGGUAGGAGCCUUUGAAACGUGAGCGCUAGCUUACGUGGAGGCGCUGGUGGGAUACUACCCUAGCUGUGUUGGCUUUCUAACCCGCACCACUUAUCGUGGUGGGAGACAGUGUCAGGCGGGCAGUUUGACUGGGGCGGUCGCCUCCUAAAAGGUAACGGAGGCGCUCAAAGGUUCCCUCAGAAUGGUUGGAAAUCAUUCAUAGAGUGUAAAGGCAUAAGGGAGCUUGACUGCGAGACCUACAAGUCGAGCAGGGUCGAAAGACGGACUUAGUGAUCCGGUGGUUCCGCAUGGAAGGGCCAUCGCUCAACGGAUAAAAGCUACCCCGGGGAUAACAGGCUUAUCUCCCCCAAGAGUUCACAUCGACGGGGAGGUUUGGCACCUCGAUGUCGGCUCAUCGCAUCCUGGGGCUGUAGUCGGUCCCAAGGGUUGGGCUGUUCGCCCAUUAAAGCGGUACGCGAGCUGGGUUCAGAACGUCGUGAGACAGUUCGGUCCCUAUCCGUCGUGGGCGUAGGAAAUUUGAGAGGAGCUGUCCUUAGUACGAGAGGACCGGGAUGGACAUACCUCUGGUGUACCAGUUGUCGUGCCAACGGCAUAGCUGGGUAGCUAUGUGUGGACGGGAUAAGUGCUGAAAGCAUCUAAGCAUGAAGCCCCCCUCAAGAUGAGAUUUCCCAACUUCGGUUAUAAGAUCCCUCAAAGAUGAUGAGGUUAAUAGGUUCGAGGUGGAAGCAUGGUGACAUGUGGAGCUGACGAAUACUAAUCGAUCGAAGACUUAAUCAA
rnacentral:rRNA from 1 species